rnacentral:rRNA from 1 species
UGGGGAAUAUUGGACAAUGGGCGCAAGCCUGAUCCAGCCAUGCCGCGUGUGUGAAGAAGGCCUUAUGGUUGUAAAGCACUUUAAGCGAGGAGGAGGCUACUUUAGUUAAUACCUAGAGAUAGUGGACGUUACUCGCAGAAUAAGCACCGGCUAACUCUGUGCCAGCAGCCGCGGUAAUACAGAGGGUGCAAGCGUUAAUCGGAUUUACUGGGCGUAAAGCGCGCGUAGGCGGCUAAUUAAGUCAAAUGUGAAAUCCCGAGCUUAACUUGGAAUUGCAUUCGAUACUGGUUAGCUAGAGUGUGGGAGAGGAUGGUAGAAUUCCAGGUGUAGCGGUGAAAUGCGUAGAGAUCUGGAGGAAUACCGAUGGCGAAGGCAGCCAUCUGGCCUAACACUGACGCUGAGGUGCGAAAGCAUGGGGAGCAAACAGGAUUAGAUACCCUGGUAGUCCAUGCCGUAAACGAUGUCUACUAGCCGUUGGGGCCUUUGAGGCUUUAGUGGCGCAGCUAACGCGAUAAGUAGA